rnacentral:rRNA from 1 species
AGGGUUGCAGGGUAGCGGCGAACGGGUGAGUAAUAAGUACAGACAUGCCCCUUUGUAGGACAUAGUCCGCCGAAAGGCGGGGUAAUUUCCUAUAGUAUCUUCGGAUUAAAGACGCAAGUCACGUAGGGAGUGGUGUACUUGCUACCAGCUUGUUGGUGAGGUAAUGGCUCACCAAGGCUAUGACGGCUACCGGCUCUUAGCGGAGAGUUCGGCACAAUGGGACUGAGACACGGCCCAUACUUCUACGGAAGGCAGCAGUUAGGAAUUUUGCGCAAUGGACGAAAGUCUGACGCAGCGACAUCGCGUGUGGGAUGACGGCCCUCGGGUUGUAAACCACUUUUUGGGAGUCAUGAAGGCGCCCAGAAUAAGGAACUACUAACUACGUGCCAGCAGUCGCGGUAAUACGUAGGUUCCAAGCGUUGCCCGGUUUUAUUGGGCGUAAAGCGUCUGUAGGUGGUUUUUUAAGUCUUGUUUCAAAGACCCCGACUUAAUCGGGGAAAGGGGCAGGAUACUGGAAAACUAGAGUUAUAUCGGGGUUACUGGAAUUUGUGGUGUAGGGGUAAAAUCCGUGGAUACCACAAAGAACACCAAGCGCGAAGGCGGGUAACCAGGUAUACACUGACACUCAGAGACGAAAGCUAGGGUAAUCAAUCAGAUUAGAGACCUGAGUAGUCCUAGCCGUAAACAUUGUCUGCUAAUUUUUCCCUAUUUUAGGGGGAGAUGUUAGCUAACGCGUUAAACAGACCGCCUGGGGAGUAUAGCCGCAAGGCCGAAACUCAAACGAAUUGGCGGGGAGGCGCACAACCAGUGGAGCAUGUGGUUCAAUUCGAUACGAAGCGAUAAACCUUACCUGGGUUUGAAAUGUAUCUGCAAGCUUUAUGAAAGUAGAGCUGCCUUCGAGGGUGAUACACAGCUGUUGCAUGGCUGUCGUCAGCUCGUGACGUGAGUUGUUCUCUUAAGUGAGGUAACGAGCGCAACCCCUAUUCCGUGUUACUGUGUCACGGAAGACUGCCCAGCAUUAUUUUGUUGGGAGGAAGGAGGGGACGAUGUCAAGUCAUCAUGAUGCUUAUAUCCAGGGCUACACACAUCCUACAAUGGGUUGUACAGAGGGUUGCAAGACCGCAAGGUGGAGCUAAUCCCUAAAACAUCCCUCAGUUGGGAUUGCAGGCUGCAAUUUGCCUGCAUGAACCCGGAAUUGGUAGUAAUCGCAAAUCAGAAGAUUGCGGUGAAUACGUUCUCGCCUCUUGCACACACUGCCCGUCAAAUCAGCAAAGUUGAGGGUACCCAAAGGCUCUGAUUCGUCAGGGACUAAGGUAAAUUCAGCGAUGAGGGUUAAGUCGUAACAAGGUAUCCGUACUGGAAGGUGCGGAUG